UACGUAGGGGGCAAGCGUUGUCCGGAAUCAUUGGGCGUAAAGCGCGCGUAGGCGGCCCUGUAAGUCCGUUGUGAAAGUCAAAGGCUCAACCUUUGAAAGCCGAUGGAUACUGCAGGGCUAGAGUCCGGAAGAGGCGAGUGGAAUUCCUGGUGUAGCGGUGGAAUGCGCAGAUAUCAGGAGGAACACCGAUGGCGAAGGCAGGUCACUGGGCCGCAACUGACGCUGAGGAGCGAAAGCAUGGGGAGCGAACAGG
rnacentral:rRNA from 1 species